GAUGAACGCUGACAGAAUGCUUAACACAUGCAAGUCAACUUGAAUUUGGGUUUUUAACUUAGGUUUGGGUGGCGGACGGGUGAGUAACGCGUAAAGAACUUGCCUCACAGCUAGGGACAACAUUUGGAAACGAAUGCUAAUACCUAAUAUUAUGAUAAUAGGGCAUCCUAUAAUUAUGAAAGCUAUAAGCGCUGUGAGAGAGCUUUGCGUCCCAUUAGCUAGUUGGAGAGGUAACGGCUCACCAAGGCGAUGAUGGGUAGCCGGCCUGAGAGGGUGAUCGGCCACAAGGGGACUGAGACACGGCCCUUACUCCGACGGGAGGCAGCAGUGGGGAAUAUUGGACAAUGGACCAAGAGUCUGAUCCAGCAAUUCUGUGUGCACGAUGAAGUUUUUCGGAAUGUAAAGUGCUUUCAGUUGGGAAGAAAGAAAUGACGGUACCAACAGAAGAAGUGACGGCUAAAUACGUG
rnacentral:rRNA from 1 species